CUGAAACAAAUAUGAAUACCAGAACUGUAGAUAUAGAGUGUCAUAGUUUAGGUUUCCUGAGAGCAGACCCCAAAACAAUGAUCCAAGUGCAAGUAAUUUAUUUGGCUGAUGAUUCCAGGAAAUACUGGGAAGGGAGUUAGGGAGACAGAAACCAGAAGAUAGAAACUAAAGGCCACUUCAUUGAACACAUCACAAUGAUCUUACAUAUCAAGGCUACUUUUUAGGUGCCCACACCAGCGAAGGAGCCAAGAGGUCAUUAGAACUCCAUUUUCCACUCUUGAUACUGCUCAUUGAAAACAUUCAUUCCUCUUCCAUUCCUUUACCGAUGAGAAGGCGAGGCUAUAGUGAGAUGGGGGUCUUCCUGUGCCACAUCACCAAGCACCAUCGCUACUGGGUCCCCACACACCUAUCCUGUACUAGCAGAGUCCAUAAGAGCACUGCAAAAGAUGAUACAUUUCAGUACGAGUGGGGCUCUCUCUCCUAGACGCCAUCUCUAACCCUUCUGAUAAGUGUUCUUUAGGUGGUUCUCACUCCAGUGGAGCAAUUCAGCAGAAUAAAAAUGAUUUAUGAUAAAACUACAAAGCUGCUGGAAUGUACAUGAAGAUAUUGAAAAGUUGUUCGCUCACACGAAGGAAGAAGGAAGCAUGCAGACAACUGGAGGGGAAACAAGGCAGAGAGGAGCUUCAUUGAGAGAAAGAACAGCUCUCAGGAUACCCAAAGUGGGUAGCUCCUUUCUGCAGGCAGGUCAUCCAGACAAGAGUCCAGUUCUCAGCGGAGAGGAGACCCAGAGUGGGUAGCUCCUUUCCACAGGCAGGUCAUGCAGGUGAGCUGAGAAAACUUGAAGUGGGUAGCACCUUCUCACAGCUGGUAGUCCCAGUGUCUCUGUGAGUCUGGCUGAGUCCAGGGGUUUUUGUGGGCUUCAGAAGGGAGGAGGUGCAUGCUGAUUGGUCUAUGGGUAACCAUGGGUGGGCCCUAAAAAGCACCGUAAGUUCUCGCUCUUGGCACAGAUUCCACCUGCAACUGGCAGCCUGGGCCCCAUGCUUCAGGCCAUCCCUGGCUUGAAGAUGGGGCUUCACUCACCCCUUUCUGCCCAGGAGCCUGUCUGCUUCCUGCUGCCAUCAAUCAUGUCAUCCACAGCAUCCACCCAGGCUGUUCAAGUGGAGCGCAUGUCAAGCCACCCUCACCCACCCUGUGCCCCCCACCAUGCUCCUCAGCGCCCAAAGUCCGGAGGGGGCUGAGGAGGCAGGGGGCUGAUGUGUCAGCACUGCCCUGAGCAAGCAUACACCCAGCCAGGUUGCGACAGUGCCUGCCUGGGCUCAGCCUCAACUUUGCUCCAAAAUCAGAGCAGGCACUGGGAGAGAGGAGAGGCCAGUCCACGGGGACAGACACUUCUGAGACUGUGGGGGAAGAGGGGCUUCCUGGCCCGAGAGUACAAGGAUGCCUGGGUCUGGAACUGCAACAGGGCAGCUGCAUCUGUGCCUGGUGAGCAGACAGACCCUGACCCGCCAACUUAGAAGGGGAUGGAUCCCCCACUCCUGCUCCCCAUCCCCCUCCCCAUGGGGCACGCAGCCCCAGACACGCCUUCCCAGCUGCAGCCCAAGUCUUCACAGUGGCCGUUCUAGACGGGCUGCCACUGCCAUCAUAUAUAUGUGUGUACGCACUAAAAAUAGAAUUCUUACAAAGUAACUAAAAACAAAGAAGACAAGUGACCUAGUAGAAAAAGAAGCGGAGUAUAUACACAUAUAUGAUGAAGCAAUUCACACAAGAACAAAUAUGGAUGGUGAUACAGUUUGGCUCUGUGUCCCCAUCCGCAUUUUAUCUUGAAUCGUAAUCUCCACAUGUUGGAGGAGUGGCCUGGUGGAAGGUGAUUGGAUUAUGGGGGCACAUUUCCCCCUCACUAUUCUCCUGAUAGUGGAUAAGUUCUCAUGAGACCUGACGGUCUACAAGUAUGUGGCACUUCUCUCUCUGCUGCUCCACAAUGUGAAAAUGAACUUGCUUCCCCUUCACCUUCUGCCGUGACUGUAAGUUUCCUGAGGCCUCCCAAGCCAUGCUUCCUGUUAAGCCUGCAGAACUGUGAGUCAAUUAAACCUCUUUUCUUCAAAAAUUACCCAGUCUCAGGUGUUUCUUUACAACAGUGUGAGAAAGGAUUAAUACAGAU
rnacentral:lncRNA from 10 species